rnacentral:rRNA from 1 species
UACGAAGGGGGCUAGCGUUGCUCGGAAUCACUGGGCGUAAAGGGUGCGUAGGCGGGUCUUUAAGUCAGGGGUGAAAUCCUGGAGCUCAACUCCAGAACUGCCUUUGAUACUGGGAGCUCGAGUCCGGGAGAGGUGAGUGGAACUCCGAGUGUAGAGGUGAAAUUCGUAGAUAUUCGGAAGAACACCAGUGGCGAAGGCGGCUCACUGGCCCGGUACUGACGCUGAGGUGCGAAAGCGUGGGGAGCAAACAGG